AACGAACGCUGGCGGCAGGCUUAACACAUGCAAGUCGAACGCGUGUAGCAAUACACGAGUGGCGCACGGGUGAGUAACGCGUGGAUAUCUGCCUUUUGGUUCGGAAUAACUCCGGGAAACUGGAGCUAAUACCGGAUGGUUCCUACGGGAUAAAGAUUUAUCGCCAAAAGAUGAGUCCGCGUACGAUUAGCUAGUUGGUGAGGUAAUGGCUCACCAAGGCGACGAUCGUUAGCUGGUCUGAGAGGACGAUCAGCCACACUGGGACUGAGACACGGCCCAGACUCCUACGGGAGGCAGCAGUGGGGAAUAUUGGGCAAUGGGCGCAAGCCUGACCCAGCCACGCCGCGUGAGUGAUGAAGGCCU
rnacentral:rRNA from 1 species